CAGUCGCCGCGGUAAUACAGAGGGUGCAAGCGUUAAUCGGAAUUACUGGGCGUAAAGCGCGCGUAGGCGGCUUCUUAAGUCGGAUGUGAAAUCCCUGAGCUUAACUUAGGAAUUGCAUUCGAUACUGGGAAGCUAGAGUAUGGGAGAGGAUGGUAGAAUUCCAGGUGUAGCGGUGAAAUGCGUAGAGAUCUGGAGGAAUACCGAUGGCGAAGGCAGCCAUCUGGCCUAAUACUGACGCUGAGGUACGAAAGCAUGGGGAGCAAACAGGAUUAGAUACCCGAGUAGUCCCUGUCUCUUAUAC
rnacentral:rRNA from 1 species